rnacentral:rRNA from 1 species
CCUACGGGUGGCAGCAGUGAGGAAUAUUGGUCAAUGGGCGAGAGUCUGAACCAGCAAAGUCGCGUGAAGGAUGACUGCCUUAUGGGUUGAAACCUUCUUUUAUAUGGGAAUAAAAUGUUCCACGUGUGGGAUAUUGUAUGUACCAAAUGAAUAAGGAUCGGCUAACUCAGUGCCAGCAGCCGAGGUAAUACGGAGGGUCCGAGCGUUAUCCGGGUUUGUAGGGUUUAAGGGGAGCGUAGGUGGAAUGUUAAGUCAGUUGUGAAAGUUUGCGGCUCAACCGCAAAAUUGCAGUUGAUACUGGCAGUCUUGAGUACAGGAGAGGUGGGCGGAAUUCGUUGUGUAGCGGUGAAAUGCUUAGAUAUCACGAAGAACUCCGAUUGCGAAGGCAGUGCACUGGACUGCAACUGACACUGAGGCUCGAAAGUGUGGGUAUCAAACAGGAUUAGAUACCCCUGUAGUC